AGUUCAUAAUUGUAUGUGUCUGGUCGUCAUCUCUCCCUUUCCACUUUCAGAAAACAACCAAUUUUUGCUCUGUUCUUCUCACAAUCUUAGCUUUUAUGAAAUUCACAAUCCCAUAAUUAAUAUUAUUACUUCAUCUUCUGUUUGUUAGCGACUCAGAUUCAUAUUUCCUUCCAUUUCUUCCCACUUUUCACCUAAAAUUUUGUUAAUUUUUGACUUUGUGAGGAAGAAAGAGAACGGGAGAAGCAGGCGAAGCCCUAGAAUUUCGGCAUGGCUUCGUCGAAUGUGGAGAUUGCGUCCACGUCGAAGAACAAUCCGGAUCUGCCGCGUGAGUCCUCUGUUUGUUCUAUUUCCACAAUUAUCGCUGAUCUACAGCAUAGUGAUUCCUCCAGGAAUUUGGUUUCCAUGAGCAUGGAUGACCUGCUUAAGAACAUUUAUUCCGAUGCUCAAACUCACAAUCAACCGCAGCCGGAGAAUCCCAUUAUGCCUGCCUCGAUCCCCACCCAACACACCUUUCCUUUGCCCAAGGAUUUGAGCACCAGGUCUGUUGAGGAGGUCUGGAAGGAGAUCGUUGCUGGGGGUGGUGAUCAGAGGCGGGACCCUGCUACGGAUCACGAAAUAACCCUUGAAGAUUUUCUAUCUAAGGCUGGGGCUGUUCAUCAGGAGGAUGUUAGGAGGGUCCCUGUAAUCUCCGAAGCUGGGGGUUAUGGUGUCGACUCGACCCUUAAUAAUCAGUUUCAGAUUCCGCCGCAGCAGCAGUUGGAAGGUGCGCCGGUUGGGUACGCUAGUGGAAUCGAUGGGAGAAUGGUUGGAGUUGGAAGAGGGAAGAGAAGGGCUGUUGAGGAACCAGUUGACAAAGCCACACAGCAGAAACAGAGACGGAUGAUCAAGAACAGGGAAUCCGCUGCCCGCUCCAGGGAACGCAAGCAGGCAUAUACGCUAGAGCUAGAGUCUCUCGUGACCCAACUGGAGGAGGAAAAUGCACGGCUAUUGAGAGAAGAGGAUUUCUGUAUGUAUCGAGUCUAAAUCAUCAUCCAUUCAGAAGUUCUGAGGAAUCAAAUUCUAAAUGCAGGCUGAGCAUAUCAAGGAACGGUCUAAGCAGCUCAAGGAGAAACUCAUUCCGAUCAGCGAGAAGCGGAGGCCACCACAGCGCAUUCUUACAAGAGCAAAUUCUUUUUAGUGGUAGCGGGUAUGCUCUGAAUCUGUGGAGGGAUGGAAUGAGCGUUUUAAUUUACAGUUGUUAAUCAUACAAAACUGGGUUGUGUGUCUGCCAAUGAAAAGGGGUAUAUAACCAAGUUAGUCAUGUCAUAGAGAUAGAUAUUUGGGGAAUAAAACACAAAACCGUCCAAGUAAAUACAAAAAAGAAAAAAAAAAAGAGUAGUUUGACGAUGCGCCCUGUUUGAACUUAUCGUUUAUAUAAUCUUAUGAAACUGUUGAAUCUGAUGUCGAAAAGAGGUGGUCGAUACCGACGAUUUGGAUGGUUGCUGGUUGUGAUUAGAUUAUACAUGUGUAUUGCGUCUGUUUUAUUAUAUCAAUCAGGUGGUGAAGAAAAGAGAGAAGAUAAGUAGAUAAAAGAAGUCAUAUUGCGUUUAUGGCUUUGAUUUUCGUUUUGUUGCUGAUGUAGGGAAUGGGAUGGUUGUGGUUAAUCUGAAUUUGUUUGUAUGAAUGUAUGAUGAAUGUUUAGUGCAUCCAAAGAGCUUUCCAUAUUU